GCGAAGGUGGCGGAAUUGGUAGACGCGCUAGCUUCAGGUGUUAGUGUCCUUAGGAUGUGGGGGUUCGAGCCCCCCCCUCGCACCA
rnacentral:tRNA from 1 species